AGUUUGAUCAUGGCUCAGGACGACGCUGGCGGCGUGCCUAACACAUGCAAGUCGAACGGAGAUGUUGAUUUCGGUUGACGUCUUAGUGGCGAACGGGUGAGUAACGCGUGAACAAUCUGACCUUAAGAGGGGGAUAACAACGAGAAAUCGUUGCUAAUACCGCAUAAGACCACAAUGCCGCAUGGCGAAGGGGUCAAAGGAGCAAUCCGCUUAAGGAGGGGUUCGCGUCCCAUUAGGUAGUAGGUGAGGUAACGGCUCACCUAGCCGACGAUGGGUAGCCGAGCUGAGAGGCUGAUCGGCCACACUGGAACUGAGACACGGUCCAGACUCCUACGGGAGGCAGCAGUGGGGAAUAUUGGGCAAUGGGCGCAAGCCUGACCCAGCAACGCCGCGUGAGGGAAGAAGGUUUUCGGAUUGUAAACCUCUGUCGCAGAUGACGAAACAAAUGACGGUAAUCUGUGAGGAAGCCCCGGCUAACUACGUG
rnacentral:rRNA from 1 species